rnacentral:rRNA from 1 species
GAUGAACGCUAGCGGCAGGCCUAAUACAUGCAAGUCGAGGGGCAGCACAGGUAGCAAUACUGGGUGGCGACCGGCAAACGGGUGCGGAACACGUACGCAACCUUCCUUCAAGCGGGGAAUAGCCCAGAGAAAUUUGGAUUAAUACCCCAUAAGAAUGUGGACUGGCAUCAGUCAGCAUUUAAAGAUUUAUCACUUGAAGAUGGGCGUGCGUCUGAUUAGGUAGUUGGUGAGGUAACGGCUCACCAAGCCGACGAUCAGUAACUGGCGUGAGAGCGCGACCAGUCACACGGGCACUGAGACACGGGCCCGACUCCUACGGGAGGCAGCAGUAAGGAAUAUUGGUCAAUGGACGGAAGUCUGAACCAGCCAUGCCGCGUGGAGGAUGAAGGCCCUCUGGGUUGUAAACUUCUUUUAU